UAAGUGACUAAGCGUACACGGUGGAUGCCUGGGCAGUCAGAGGCGAUGAAGGACGUACUAACUUGCGAUAAGCGCAGAUAAGGCAGUAAGAGCCGUUUGAGUCUGCGAUUUCCGAAUGGGGAAACCCAACUGCAUAAGCAGUUACUGUUAACUGAAUACAUAGGUUAACAGAGCAAACCGGGGGAACUGAAACAUCUAAGUACCCCGAGGAGAAGAAAUCAACCGAGAUUCCGGUAGUAGCGGCGAGCGAACCUGGAUUAGCCCUUAAGCACUCGGUGAAGUAGGUGAACAAGCUGGAAAGCUUGGCGAUACAGGGUGAUAGCCCCGUAACCGACGCUUCAUCGAGCGUGAAAUCGAGUAGGGCGGGACACGUGAUAUCCUGUCUGAAUAUGGGGGGACCAUCCUCCAAGGCUAAAUACUCCUGACUGACCGAUAGUGAACCAGUACCGUGAGGGAAAGGACGAAAAGAACCCCUGUGAGGGGAGUGAAAUAGAACCUGAAACCGUGUACGUACAAGCAGUAGGAGCACCUUCGUGGUGUGACUGCGUACCUUUUGUAUAAUGGGUCAGCGACUUAUAUUCAGUGGCAAGGUUAACCGUAUAGGGGAGCCGUAGCGAAAGCGAGUCUUAACUGGGCGCUCAGUCUCUGGAUAUAGACCCGAAACCGGGUGAUCUAGCCAUGGGCAGGUUGAAGGUUGAGUAACAUCAACUGGAGGACCGAACCGACUAAUGUUGAAAAAUUAGCGGAUGACUUGUGGCUAGGGGUGAAAGGCCAAUCAAACUCGGAGAUAGCUGGUUCUCCCCGAAAGCUAUUUAGGUAGCGCCUCGGACGAAUACUACUGGGGGUAGAGCACUGUUAAGGCUAGGGGGUCAUCCCGACUUACCAACCCUUUGCAAACUCCGAAUACCAGUAAGUACUAUCCGGGAGACACACGGCGGGUGCUAACGUCCGUCGUGGAGAGGGAAACAACCCAGACCGCCAGCUAAGGUCCCAAAGUAUUGCUAAGUGGGAAACGAUGUGGGAAGGCUCAGACAGCUAGGAUGUUGGCUUAGAAGCAGCCAUCAUUUAAAGAAAGCGUAAUAGCUCACUAGUCGAGUCGGCCUGCGCGGAAGAUGUAACGGGGCUAAGCAAUACACCGAAGCUGCGGCAAUAUCUUUUAGAUAUUGGGUAGGGGAGCGUUCUGUAAGCCGUUGAAGGUGAAUCGUAAGGUUUGCUGGAGGUAUCAGAAGUGCGAAUGCUGACAUGAGUAACGACAAAGGGGGUGAAAAACCUCCUCGCCGGAAGACCAAGGGUUCCUGUCCAACGUUAAUCGGGGCAGGGUGAGUCGACCCCUAAGGUGAGGCCGAAAGGCGUAAUCGAUGGGAAACGGGUUAAUAUUCCCGUACUUCUGACUAUUGCGAUGGGGGGACGGAGAAGGCUAGGUGGGCCAGGCGACGGUUGUCCUGGUUCAAGUGCGUAGGCUUGAGAGUUAGGUAAAUCCGGCUCUCUCUAAGGCUGAGACACGACGUCGAGCUGCUACGGCAGUGAAGUCAUUGAUGCCAUGCUUCCAGGAAAAGCCUCUAAGCUUCAGAUAGUCAGGAAUCGUACCCCAAACCGACACAGGUGGUCGGGUAGAGAAUACCAAGGCGCUUGAGAGAACUCGGGUGAAGGAACUAGGCAAAAUGGUACCGUAACUUCGGGAGAAGGUACGCUCUUGAUGGUGAAGUCCCUCGCGGAUGGAGCUGACGAGAGUCGCAGAUACCAGGUGGCUGCAACUGUUUAUUAAAAACACAGCACUGUGCAAAAUCGCAAGAUGACGUAUACGGUGUGACGCCUGCCCGGUGCCGGAAGGUUAAUUGAUGGGGUUAGCGCAAGCGAAGCUCUUGAUCGAAGCCCCGGUAAACGGCGGCCGUAACUAUAACGGUCCUAAGGUAGCGAAAUUCCUUGUCGGGUAAGUUCCGACCUGCACGAAUGGCGUAAUGAUGGCCACGCUGUCUCCACCCGAGACUCAGUGAAAUUGAAAUCGCUGUGAAGAUGCAGUGUACCCGCGGCUAGACGGAAAGACCCCGUGAACCUUUACUACAGCUUGGCACUGAACAUUGAACCUACAUGUGUAGGAUAGGUGGGAGGCUAUGAAGACGUGACGCCAGUUGCGUUGGAGCCGUCCUUGAAAUACCACCCUUGUAUGUUUGAUGUUCUAACUUAGACCCAUUAUCUGGGUUGAGGACAGUGCCUGGUGGGUAGUUUGACUGG
rnacentral:rRNA from 1 species